CCUACGGGAGGCAGCAGUGAGGAAUAUUGGUCAAUGGCCGGAAGGCUGAACCAGCCAUGCCGCGUGAAGGUCAGUGCCCUAUGGGCGUUAAACUUCUUUUGUGCGGGAGCAAUAAUGGUCACGUGUGGCCAGACGAGAGUACCGUACGAAUAAGCAUCGGCUAACUCCGUGCCAGCAGCCGCGGUCAUACGGGGGGUGCAAGCGUUAGCCGGAUUUAUUGGGGUUAAAGGGUGCGUAGGCUGUGAGGUAAGUCAGCGGUGAAAUGCCCCCGCUCAACGGGGUGAAGUGCCAUUGAUAGUGCCUUGCUGGAAUGCGGAUGCCGUGGGAAGAAUGUGUGGUGUAGCGGUGAAAUGCAUAGAUAUCACACAGAACACCGAUUGCGAAGGCAUCUCACGAAUCCGCGAUUGACGCUGAUGCACGAAAGCGUGGGUAUCAAACAGGAUUAGAUACCCGAGUAGUC
rnacentral:rRNA from 1 species